CAGCCGUAAACUAUGCGCGUUAGGCGUACUGGUGACCACGAGUCACCGGGGUGCCGAAGGGGGAAACCGUGAAACGUGCCGCCUGGGAGGUACGGUCGCAAGGCUGAACUUAAAGGAAUUGGCGGGGGAGCGACCACAACGGGUGGAGCCUGCGGUUUAAUUGGACUCAACGCCGGAAAUCUCACCGGAUAGGACAGACAUAUGAUAGUCGGGCUGAAGACUCUACUUGAUGAUCUGAGAGGAGGUGCAUGGCGUCAGUGACU
rnacentral:rRNA from 1 species